GACGUAGGGCGCGAGCGUUGUCCGGAUUUAUUGGGCGUAAAGAGCUCGUAGGCGGCUUGUCGCGUCGACUGUGAAAACCCGCGGCUCAACUCGGGCCUUGCAUCGAUACGGGCAGGCUAGAGUUCGGUAGGGGAGACUGGAAUUCCUGGUGUAGCGGUGAAAUGCGCAGAUAUCAGGAGGAACACCGAUGGCGAAGGCAGGUCUCUGGGCCGAUACUGACGCUGAGGAGCGAAGCGUGGGGAGCGAACAGGAUUAGAACCGU
rnacentral:rRNA from 1 species